rnacentral:rRNA from 1 species
CACGCAGGCGGUUUUUUAAGUCAGAUGUGAAGGGUACCGGCUCAACCGGUGACAUGCAUUUGAAACUGAAAGACUUGAGUAUUGGAGAGGCAAGUGGAAUUCCUAGUGUAGCGGUGAAAUGCGUAGAUAUUAGGAGGAACACCGGUGGCGAAGGCGGCUUGCUGGACAAAUACUGACGCUGAGGUGCGAAAGCGUGGGGAGCAAACA